rnacentral:lncRNA from 1 species
CUCAUUUGAUAUGGGUGUAGUACAUUUUGUUUAUAUAUCAACAGAGACCAAUUUUCUUCUUGGGAGCAACCAGUAUAACUUCUUGAAGCAUGAUUUGGAAUCAGUUGACAGGAACAAGACUCCUUUUGUAGUAGUCCAAGGGCACCGACCUAUGUACACCACAAUCAACGGAACCAAGGAUGUUCUGUUAAGAGAACAGAUGUUGGAGCACUUGGAACCUCUAUUGGUGAAUAACAAUGUGUCCCUUGCCCUUUGGGGCCAUGUUCAUAGAUACGAGAGAUUUUGUCCACUGAAUAACUACACUUGUGGAAAUGGUGUGGGCCAGAGAGCAAGAGACAAAGGAUAUACCGUUCAUCUUGUGAUUGGCAUGGCAGGGCAAGACAAGCAAUCCAUCUGGAAAACAAGACCGGGUCAUCCCAAUGACUCGAUCUUUCCACAACCAAAACGGUCUUUGUAUCGUGGGGGUGAAUUUGGGUACAUUAGACUAGUGGCUACAAAGCAGAAGCUCGUGGUUUCUUAUGUUGGAAAUCAUGAUGGCGAGGUGCAUGACACAUUGGAAAUUAUGGCAUCUGGAGAAGUUUUCAAUGGUAAUAUUAAUGUCGAUAUUGGUAGUGCUAAACCUAAAGGUUUGAUUGAAGAAGCUACAUUAUCCCGGUAUGUCCAAGGAGGAAGUGUACUGGUGCUUGGGGCCUUUAUGGGUUACAUUCUCUGUUGGGUUAUACAUGCAAGGAAGAAGCCUGAGUCCAAGAGUGGUUGUACUAUCGCGAAGACUGAGAAACAUGAUUAGUUACUACUCUUUACUAACUUUUUUUAUAGGAGGUAUAGAAUUAAGUAUCACUCAUAUUUGUUUGAUCAAAACUCUGAUAUACUUGGAGACUUUAUGUUUGAACAUAUGCAAGUUUUCUCCCUAAAAGCUUGUCGUUUAAUUAAGGCAUCCCUUGUAGUGACUUGUGUUGUUGUAUAAUAUUCAAGUUUUCUCACUAUGAUUUUGUAUGGGUUAUGUUCCUUACUGAUAGAAUAAGAGAAGUCUCGUCCCUAUUCCCUAAUUUCUUGAAUUAUUAGUUUUGAAGCAAAUUGAGAUCGAAAAAUGGUAAGGUAUUCCCCAAUGUUAAACAAAAACAUAGAUUUCUCACAAUUCUAACUUCUGAAAUGUUAUUUUAAAGAGUAAAUAAUUACUUUGUUCCCCAACUCUCUACCUCGCUGUAACAAUGGUCCCUGAGGAUUAAAGACAAAGUAGUCAUUAAAUGUGCACUUCCGUUAUCACUUUGGUCCAUAACGUUAAAUAAUUAUGUUAAGUGAUGACGCGACGAAGGUUUUAUGCUGACAAAGAGUAUGGGGUGUCACAGAGACUAAAGUGAAAGUAAAAAAUGGUCACUUUGAUCUCUGCACCGAAAAUCAAUAUCCUCGAAAAUCAAUAUCCCGAAACUCGUCCCAAUUUCGGUUAAGUAACUUUGGUUACUUUGAUUUCGGUUCAGAAAUCAAAGUAACAAUUUUUUACUUUCACUUUAGUCACUGUGACACCUCAUACUCCUUGUCAGCAUAAAAUCUUUGUCACGUCAUCGGUUAACAAAAUUAUUUAACGUCAGGGACUAAAGUGAUAACGGAUGUGCACAUUCAAGGACUACUUUGUCUUUAAUCCUGAAUCAGUCACCAUAAUCGAAGAAUAUAUCCCCUCACAAAAAUUCGCAAAAGGAGAAAGGAGGUUGGAAUUGUGAGAAAAUGUAAUCUAAAUUAGGUUUCUCAAAAAUAUUAAAUUCAAUUUAUUCAGACAAAAUAAACCAUUGUUCAGUGGUAUAUAUAAUUACUAACAUAAACCCUUAAUUAAAUUAUAUCAAAGUAUAGGGACGGAGGUACUACAUUGUUUAGGUAGGUGCAGUGAGGAUAGAGAGGAGCAUUGUUUACGACGUCAAUUCUCUACGACAGUUGCACGUGCAGUAACACGGCUGGGAAUGUUAGAUAUUGAGAUGCAAAUUUUCUCUCUUGCCAAUCGUACAAUCAUCGAUAGUUUAAUAUAAAAAUCAAAAGUUCAAAUAGUCCUCAACAAGUGUUUUUAAGUGGAGGCAAUUCUCACGUCUUAAGCGGGUUUUGUGGACUUGUUAGACGCAACCAUAAAUUUUAGGACCGUGGAGAUGUAAAGUGUAGGAUGAGGUACCCGCAAACACUAUGACCAUCAAAUUAAUGAGUAGAAAGUAAGGGGUAUUGAAAGGAUAUAAGUGGUGUACCUUAUGCUAUGGUACAAAGAUCCAUUUAUAUAUGCAUCUAAGGAUAUAAUUGUUGAGGCAGUCGUUGAAGAGCGAUUACAGGCGACUGAUAUGAAAGGAUGAACUUGAUGAAUGUUGUGAUGCAUUGAUGUUUGAAAGCGCUACAAACUUACAUAAAUUUUAAGUCUACUGAUUGUUGAUGUUUGGGACAAAAAGAGCAUCUAUGUGCGAGAAUAUGGUUGAGGUCAGACCUAUGUGUUCAGAUUAAAUAUAAAGUGGACAUUGAAUUUUGGGCUAGUCUCGAACAUUAGAUAGACAAGUUGACUUGAAAUAAUCUUAGUUACAUGUGUUUGAAAAGUUUAGCUGAAUAUAUAUAUAUAUAUAUAUAUAUAUAUAUAUAUAUAUAUAUAUAUAUAUAUAUGUUGAACUUGCAAGUGACUUAACCGAAUAUAAGUUAGGUCACCUUACAUAUAUAUAGGGACGCACAUGUUUUUUUUCGAAAGAGGAUGCAAGUUUUUUUUUUUUUUUUUUUGAGGCGAGGGACACAAUUUUUUUAAAAAAUUAAAUUAAUCCAUCAAAAUUGAUACCUGAAUGAAAAACUUUCAAAAUCUCAAGUGAGUUAGGGAGGGGCACAAGUUAGUGAUGUGAACUUAGUAAAAUAGUGAUCCUAAAAAUCAUGUAUUGAAUUUUGGAAAAGUCAAAAUAUGUAGCUAAUUUAGCAAAGAUCCUUGCAAUAAAGAAGAAUAUACCAGCUGGAUUAAGAGGAUGCUUAACCAAUCUUCAUCUUCAUCUUCAUUUCAUUCAAUUCCAACAAAUUCAUAAUCAUGAUCCCUCACACAAUACUCUUCACCUUACUCUUAUCCUCAACCUUCACCUCUACCCUCGCCCAAUCAAAACCCACCCUAACAGUAACCCCAACCACCCUCACAAAAUCUGGCGACACCGUCACCCUCCGGUGGUCCGGUAUCCAAUCCCCCUCCGAUCUCGACUUCCUCGCAAUCUACUCCCCACCUACCUCCGCCCACAAAAACUACAUCGGCUACCUCUUCCUCUCCAAAUCCCCCACCUGGCAAUCCGGCUCCGGCAACCUCUCUCUUCCUCUCAUCAACCUCCGUUCCAACUACUCCUUCCGUAUCUUCCACUGGUCCCAAUCCGAAAUCAACCCUAAACGUCAAGAUCACGAUCAUAAUCCCUUACCACAAACGCAUCACCUUCUUGCUUUCUCUGAUGAAGUUUCUUUUCCAUCCCUUCGACCGGAGCAGAUUCAUCUUGCUUUUGCAGAUGAAGAAGAUGCUAUGAGGGUGAUGUAUGUGACGGGGGUUCCGAAGAAGACGUAUGUGAGAUAUGGAGAAAGAGAGGAUAUGAUGGAUAGAUUGGUUGUUGCGAAUGUGAAGAGAUAUGAGAGAGAGCAUAUGUGUGAUGCUCCUGCUAAUCAGAGUGUUGGUUGGAGGGAUCCUGGGUUUUAUUCAUGAUGCUUUGAUUACUGGUUUGGACAAAGGAAGAAGAUAUUACUACAAGGUUUUUAUUUUUUAUUUUUUUGCUUUCUUUGUGUUGUUGGAUUUCUCGUGACAUUGCUCUUUUAGGUUUGUUUGGUUGGAUAUUUUUAUUACUUUGGUUAGAAGUUAGUUGGAUGUAAAGUGGUACUCUUUCCGGUGACUAAAAUUUCACUUUUUAGGUUCAUUGCAUAACUGAUGUAUUCGUCUAUAAUACAGACGAGAUUCACCGGUUAUGCACUGAACCUAAAUAGUCAAAUUUUGCUUAUAACAGCGACCACAGGGUAUUUGGGGUGAAUUCUACUGUGGACCACUUUGAUAGGUUGGUCACAGGGGACUGAAAAUCAAAAAUCGUUCAAAACUCCAAUGACAACAUAAGUUGCGUUUUAGAAGUAGAACUCCACAAUUCUUCUUGUUAUCACGGUUGAGAUAGUGACUUGAUCGGUGCUGGUUCAACAGAAAGAAAAAAAAAAAGAAGAAAACGAAUGUAUGGCUAAAACAUGAAUUCGGUUUUUGGUUGAACCAACAUCAAUCAGAUCAAUGUCUCAUGGAAAAGAGAACUGGGGGUUUAUGCUUUGCAGGGAUGUCAUCACUCGUAGUUGGGGUUUUGAGAAGUACUAGGCUAUCAGAUACACUAGAAUUGUUUAUGUUAUAUGAAUUAAACAAUGAAUCUGAGGCUGAAACGAAAUCACGAUAAGAGGUAUAAAGCUCUAAAUAUCAUCUUUUAAGUUAAAAUCCAUUACGGAGACAAAACCUAUUCUACUUAAUACUCAAAUAUGCCAAAAAAUUUAGUAAGUAUACAAUAUCGUAUUUUGCUGAGGUCUUAAAAUUCUGAUUCAUCUAAUUGCUUAGUAUAUGGAAACCAGAAACUUAAUUUGGUAUGGUGUUUUUCUGUGUGUUAGGUUGGAAAUGAUAAUGGAGGUUGGAGUGCAACCCAUAGCUUUGUGUCGAGGAAUAGUGAUUCAAAUGAAACAAUAGCUUUCCUUUUCGGUGACAUGGGAACAUUUACAGCAUACAAUACGUAUUUGCGUACACAAGAUGAGAGCAUAUCAACCAUGAAGUGGAUCCUGCGUGAUGUUGAAGCUCUAGGAAACAAGCCCGCCUUUAUAUCACACAUUGGAGACACAAGUUAUGCAAGAGGUUAUGCGUGGUUGUGGGAUCAUUUUUUCGCACAGAUUGAACCUGUUGCAACCAAAGUGGCAUACCAUGUAUGCAUUGGCAAUCACGAGUAUAACUGGCCUUUACAGCCGUGGAAACCUGAUUGGGCUAAUUAUAGAACAGAUGGAGGUGGUGAAUGUGGUGUACCCUACAGUUUAAGGUUCAACAUGCCAGGAAACUCUUCAGAACCCACUGGAACUGUAGCUCCAGCCACUAGGAAUCUUUAUUACUCAUUUGAUAUGGGAGCAGUACAUUUUGUUUAUAUUUCCACAGAGACCAAUUUCCUUCCUGGGAGCAAUCAGUAUAACUUCUUAAAGCGUGAUUUGGAAUCAGUUGACAGGAACAAGACUCCUUUUGUAGUAGUCCAAGGGCACCGACCCAUGUACACAACAAGCAAUGAAUUUAGGGAUGCUGCGUUAAGAGGAAAGAUGGUUGAGCACCUGGAACCUCUAUUGGUGAAUAACCAUGUAACCCUUGCCCUUUGGGGUCAUGUUCAUAGGUACGAGAGAUUUUGUCCACUAAACAACU